GGCCCUGUAGCAGAAUCGGUCAGUGCAUCUGUUUGUGAACCAGAAAGUGGUGGUUUGAUCCCACCCAGGGAUG